rnacentral:lncRNA from 1 species
UAUAUUUUUAUUAAAUCUUAAUCAAAUCUAAGAUAAACCUUAAUAAUAUCUUAAUUAAAUCUUAAAUCCUAAUCUUUUAUCAAAUCCUAAAUAAAUCAUAAUCAAAUCUUAGACAAACCUUAAUAAAAUCUUAAUUAAAUCUUAAAUCCUUAUCUUUAAUCAAAUCCUAAAUAAAUCCUAAGAAAAUCUUAAACAAAUUUUAAUAAAAUCUUGGUCAAAUCCUAAAUCUUAGAUCAAAUUUUAAUCAAAUUUUAAAUAAAUUCUAAUCAAAUCUUAGUAAAAUUUUAAUCAAAUCAAAAUUAAAUCCUAAAAAAGUUUUAGACAAAAUCUAAAUCUUAGAUCAAAAUUUAAUCAAAUAUUAGAUAAAUUAUAAAUUAUAAUGAAAUCCUAAGCAAAUCCUAAUCAAAUCCUAAAUCAUAACCAAAUCCCAGACAAAUCCUAAUUAAAUCUUAAUUAAAUUCUAAAUUCUAAUUAAAUUUUAAUUAAAUCUUAAUCAAACCUUAGACAAAAUCUAAGUCUUAUAUCAAACCUUAAUCAAAUCCUAAAAAAAUCCUAAAUCCUAACCAAAGCUUAAGCAAAUUUUAAUCAAAUCCUAAAUCAUAAUCAAAUUCUAAAAAAAUCCGAAAU